AUACAUCAUAAAUCCAUCAUAAAUACAUCAUAAAUUCAUUCCAUUCCAUCAAGAAUGUGCUUUCAAGUCCUUAUACAUCUUGAUUCCACCGGAGUGAACCGUAUAAGGUGAGUAAUGAGCCUCUCUCAAAAUCUUCUCUCGGAUCUCUGAAUUCAUAGGCACACACAGUCGGUCCCUAUAUCGUAGUACUCCCGAACUGUCCACAAAAAAAGCUUCUGCCUGUCCCCUCUCUAACUGCUCUCGAAUCCUCAACAAAUGAGAGUCUCCACUCUGUUUCUCCCUGAUCCUGUCCAACAGAGUG
rnacentral:lncRNA from 1 species